rnacentral:rRNA from 1 species
UACGGGGGGGGCAAGCGUUGUUCGGAAUUACUGGGCGUAAAGGGCUCGUAGGCGGCCAACUAAGUCAGACGUGAAAUCCCUCGGCUUAACCGGGGAUCUGCGUCUGAUACUGGAUGGCUUGAGUUUGGGAGAGGGAUGCGGAAUUCCAGGUGUAGCGGUGAAAUGCGUAGAUAUCUGGAGGAACACCGGUGGCGAAGGCGGCAUCCUGGACCAACACUGACGCUGAGUGAGCGAAAGCCAGGGGAGCAAACGGG